UGCGCUGUGGAGCAACUGGUAGCUCGUUGGGCUCAUAACCCGAAGGUUGGCGGUUCGAAUCCGCUCGGCGCCA
rnacentral:tRNA from 1 species